rnacentral:rRNA from 1 species
GAUGAACGCUAGCUACAGGCUUAACACAUGCAAGUCGAGGGGCAGCACGAAGAUAGCUUGCUAUCUUGGGUGGCGACCGGCGCACGGGUGAGUAACGCGUAUCCAACCUGCCCAUUACUCAGGGAUAGCCUUGCGAAAGUAAGAUUAAUACCUGAUGUUGUUUGAUUGCCGCAUGACGGUCAAACCAAAGAUUUAUUGGUAAUGGAUGGGGAUGCGUGACAUUAGGUAGUAGGUGAGGUAACGGCUCACCUAGCCGACGAUGUCUAGGGGUUCUGAGAGGAAGGUCCCCCACACUGGAACUGAGACACGGUCCAG